AAAACAGUUCCAGAAGAGGUGGGGUGGUGGAGAGCAUGGAAGGAGUGACAGGAAGUCUGCUGAGUUAAGGAAGCAGAAGUUGGCCAUGACUUUCGGUUGUGGAGCACUGACAGCAGCUUAGAGAAAGUUGCGCUCUUGCACCUUGUUUUAUUUUUAGGUCUCCUCCUUCUUCCUCUCCCCCCCUCCUCAUUCUUCUUGCCAAUAAGAAUAAAAAUGGAGCUCUGUUCCUGGGGAAUACCAUGUGACCAACAAGAAAGAAGUGGUCCUUCUGUGAAUUCAGAGUUGGAAGUUCACAUUCCUGGUUUCUAUUAUGUGGCUCUCCUCUGUCUUGCAGCCAAGCCAUAGGAUGUCAAACCACAAACAGCUCCAAGGAACAAAGUGAGUCCUGUUCAGCUCUGGCUUAUGGUGGUGUGGAGGACUGAACCUGGGACUUCAGAGACUCAGCCACUAGGUUCCAGAUGCCAUCAGGAUGCAGACCAGGCUUCCCUGGACUGAAGACCCCACCAAUGUGUCCUGGAGCUCAGCUUCCCCAGAGACACACCCUACUAGGGAAAGAGAGAGGCAGACUGGGAGUAUGGACCAACCAGUCAACGUCCAUGUUCAGCGGGGAAGCAAUUACAGAAGCCAGACCUUCCACCU